UACAGAGGUGACUAACGUUGUCCGGAAUUACUGGGCGUAAAGGGCGCGUAGGCGGCGACUCAAGUUAGAUGUGAAAGUCCUGGGCUUAACCUGGGGACUGCAUUUGAUACUGGGUUGCUUGAAUUCGGGAGAGGAUAGCGGAAUUCCCAGUGUAGAGGUGAAAUUCGUAGAUAUUGGGAAGAACACCGGUGGCGAAGGCGGCGACCUGGUCCAUUACUGACGCUGAGGCGCGACAGCGUGGGGAGCAAACAGG
rnacentral:rRNA from 1 species